AGUGAAGCGGCAUCAGCUCAAAUUUGAAAUCCGGCGCCUCCGGUGCCCGAGUUGUAAUUUGCAGAGGUGGCCUCGGGCGCGGUCCCGGUACAAGUUCCGUGGAACAGGACGUCGUGGAGGGUGAGAGCCCCGUUCGCGACCGGCGACCAACCCCAUGCGUGGCCCCUUCGACGAGUCGAGUUGUUUGGGAAUGCAGCUCCAGCGGGAGGUAAAUUUCUUCUAAAGCUAAAUAUCGGCCGGAGACCGAUAGCGCACAAGUAGAGUGAUCGAAAGAUGAAAAGCACUUUGGAAAGAGAGUCAAAAAGCACGUGAAAUUGUUGAAAGGGAAGCGCUUGCGAUCAGACCCGGCCGCGGUUGCUCAGCCCGCCUUCUGGCUGGCCCACUCUCCCGUGGCCGGGCCAGCGUCGGUUCGGGCGGCCGGAUAAAGGCGGGGGGAAAGUAGCUCCCCUCGGGGAGUGUUAUAGCCCCCCGCGCAAUGCGGCCCGCCCGGGCCGAGGCACGCGCUCUUGCGAGGACGCUGGCGUAAUGGUCGUAAGCGGCCCGUCUUGAAACACGGACCAAGGAGUCUAACAUCUGUGCGAGUGUUUGGGCGUCAAACCCACGCGCGCAAUGAAAGUGAACGGAGGUGGGAACCUUCGGGCGCACCAUCGACCGAUCCCGAUGUUCUCGGAAGGAUUUGAGUAAGAGCACAGCUGUUGGGACCCGAAAGACACUGAACUUUGCCUGAAUAGGGCGAAGCCAGAGGAAACUCUGGUGGAGGCUCGCAGCGGUUCUGACGUGCAAAUCGAUCGUCAAAUUUGGGUAAAGGGGCGAAAGACUAAUCGAAGUGUCUAGUAGCUGGUUCCUGCCGAAGUUUCCCUCAGGAUAGCAGCAACGCGUCGCAGUUUUAUGAGGUAAAGCGAAUGAUUAGAGGUCUUGGGGUUUUAAGUCGACCUUAACCUAUUCUCAAACUUUGAAUAUGUAAGAAGCCCUUGUUACUUGGUUGAACGUGGGCAUUAGAAUGCACCGUUGCUAGUGGGCCAUUUUUGGUAAGCAGAACUGGCGAUGCGGGAUGAACCGAACGCGGGGUUAAGGUGCCGGAGUGCACGCUCAUCAGACACCACAAAAGGUGUUGGUUGAUCUAGACAGCAGGACGGUGGCCAUGGAAGUCGGAACCCGCUAAGGAGUGUGUAACAACUCACCUGCCGAAUCAACCAGCCCUGAAAAUGGAUGGCGCUCAAGCGUGCCACCUAUACCCCGCCGCCGGGGCAGGAUCGACGCCCCGGCGAGUAGGCAGGCGCGGAG
rnacentral:rRNA from 1 species